rnacentral:rRNA from 1 species
UCGAGAAUAUUUGUCAAUGUACGAAAGUAUGAACAUGCGACGCCGCGUGGAGGAUGAAGGCCUUCGGGUUGUAAACUCCUGUCAUGAGGGAAUAAAUGCAUGCUGGCUAAUACCCGGCAUGUUUGACAGUACCUCAAGAGGAAGUCACGGCUAACUCUGUGCCAGCAGCCGCGGUAAUACAGAGGUGGCAAGUGUUGUUCGGAUUUACUGGGCGUAAAGGGUUCGCAGGCGGCUUUGUGUGUCAGAUGUGAAAGCCCACGGCUUAACCGUGGAAAUGCAUUUGAAACUACAGGGCUAGAGUACGGGAGAGGAGAGGGGAAUUCAUGGUGUAGCGGUGAAAUGCGUAGAUAUCAUGAAGAACACCGGUGGCGAAAGCGCCUCUCUGGACCGAUACUGACGCUCAUGAACGAAAGCCAGGGGAGCAAAGA